CGCGAACGGCUCAUUAUAACAGCUAUAAUUUACUUGAAUUUGACAACCCUACUUGGAUACCGGUGGUAAUUCUAGCGCUAAUACAUGCACCAAAGCUCCGACCGCGAGGGAAGAGCGCAUUUAUUAGAACAAAACCACACGGCUUCGGCCGUCCAAUGUUGACUCAGAAUAACUAAGCUGAUCGCAUGGUCUUGCACCGGCGACGUUUCUUUCAAGUAUCUGCCUUAUCAACUUUCGAUGGUAGUGUAUCUGACUACCAUGGUGAUGACGGGUAACGGAGGAUAAGGGUUCGACUCCGGAGAAGGGGCCUGAGAAAUGGCCACUACGUCUAAGGAUGGCAGCAGGCGCGCAAAUUACCCACUCUCAGUACGAGGAGGUAGUGACGAGAAAUAACAAGACCGUUCUCACAAGAGGCCGGUCAUUGGAAUGGGUACAAUUUAAACCCUUUAACGAGUAUCUAUGAGAGGGCAAGUCUGGUGCCAGCAGCCGCGGUAAUUCCAGCU
rnacentral:rRNA from 2 species